GACGAACGCUGGCGGCGUGCCUAAUACAUGCCAGUAGAACGCUGAAGCGAGGAGCUUGCUCUUCUUGGAUGAGUUGCGAACGGGUGAGUAACGCGUAGGUAACCUGCCUUGUAGCGGGGGAUAACUAUUGGAAACGAUAGCUAAUACCGCAUAACAAUGGAUGACACAUGUCAUUUAUUUGAAAGGGGCAAUUGCUCCACUACAAGAUGGACCUGCGUUGUAUUAGCUAGUAGGUGAGGUAAUGGCUCACCUAGGCGACGAUACAUAGCCGACCUGAGAGGGUGAUCGGCCACACUGGGACUGAGACACGGCCCAGACUCCUACGGGAGGCAGCAGUAGGGAAUCUUCGGCAAUGGGGGCAACCCUGACCGAGCAACGCCGCGGGAGUGAAGAAGGGUUUCGGAUCGUAAAGCUCUGUUGUAAGUCAAGAACGGGUGUGAGAGUGGAAAGUUCACACUGUGACGGUAGCUUACCAGAAAGGGACGGCUAACUACGUG
rnacentral:rRNA from 1 species